AUGAACGCUGGCGGCAUGGAUUAGGCAUGCAAGUCGAACGGGCCGUUUUUCGCAAGAGAAGCGGUCAGUGGCGAAAGGGUGCGUAACACGUGAGCAACCUGCCCCCGAGUCCGGGAUAGCCCGCGGAAACGCGGAUUAAUACCGGAUGUGGUACCCCUCCUCAUGGCGGGGCCACUGAAGAUUUAUCGCUCGGGGAUGGGCUCGCGGCCCAUAAGCUAGUUGGCGGGGUAACGGCCCACCAAGGCUAUGACGGGUAGGUGGUCUGAGAGGAUGGUCACCCACACUGGGACUGAGACACUGCCCAGACUCCUACGGGAGGCUGCAGUCGAGAAUCUUCCGCAAUGGGCGCAAGCCUGACGGAGCGAUGCCGCGUGAGGGAUGAAGGCCUUCGGGUUGUAAACCUCUGUCAGAGGGGACGAAGAAUGUGACGGUACCCUCAGAGGAAGCCACGGCUAACUACGU
rnacentral:rRNA from 1 species